ensembl:lncRNA
CGCAGGGGAGACCUUUACUGGAUGCAGCCAGCAUUGGAUUCUCUUAGACACAAUUACAGUUUAGCUUAUACAGGCAGGGAAUAUCUGGUUUAGAUUAGAGGUUGGAUGAUUAAUUAGGGCCAAUUUCAAGUUUAUAACAAAAUCGGUAAACUGCAUUUGUGGAGGCCGAUUACAUUGCAUUCCACGAAGACACUGUGUGGCAGGGUGGCCACCUGAUACGCGAGUGCAGCAAGGAGCCAAGUUUUCUCCAAAAUGAAGAGAAAGAAGGACAUCAUGUCCUUCUUCCAAAGAAAAGACAAGGCAGACAGUGAGACAGAGCCAGAUGGUUCAGCAGUAGAGAGAGCAGAGAGCCUGCAGAGAGUGAGCAGGAAGACUUGUCCAUUGGAGAGCCUGAGGGUGAAGGCAUAGUAGAGCAGGAAAGUGAGGCUGAGGUAGAGGAUGAGGCUGAGAGUGAGACGCCAACAGAGGAGCCUCGUGUGUCCACAAGCAGUGGAGCGUCAGAUAUCACCAAAUCCCGGGAGGAACCACCGGUGCAGCCAAUGAUGAACUUAUACCCAAGAACUCUGAUGGGGGACCAGAGGAGGAGCUUCAAGGCGGCCUGGUACCAUAUCCACCCCUAGGCCAAGCAUAUGACGGUGCUUCCGUUAUGAGUGGCAAGCAUUCAGGCGUCCAGGCACACAUUGAAGAACAAGCAAAGCCUUUUACAUCCACUGCAGUGCACACUGUCUAAACUUAAUUUUAGUGGAUAUAGUCAAAGCUGUCCCUGAGGUCGGACAGUUCUUCUGCUUACUAGAAAGACUUUACGUCUUCACAUCCGGGUCAUAUGUGCAUCAAAAAUGGCUUAGCAUACAAAAAGAGAUGUACCCAGGUGCACCUAGAGAGCUUCAGAGACUAAGUGACACUAGCUGGGCAUGUCGAUAUAUGGCUCUACAUACUAUUAUGGAUAGAUUACCUGCCAUUAAGCGAGUUCUGCAAGAUAUAGUCCAAGAACACAAUGGUGACAGAUCUGUUGAGGCACGAGGUCUGCUUGCACAGAUAGAUUUACAAUUCAUUGUGUGCCGUGGUACACUCCAUAAAGUGUUUGGAGAAGCAGAAUUUCUAUCAGAUAUGCUACAGUCUUCAUCACUUGACCUGUCAAAGGCUGUUGAUUUAGUUGAAGCCUUAGUUCAAACUUUGAAUGACUACAGGGAUGAGUCAUUUUUUGAUGACCUAUGGAAUGAAGUGUUGAACACAGCUGAGCAAUGUGAUACUGCAAUACACCCCCCUGCAAAACGACCAAAAAAGCUAAGCUUCAAUUUAAUGGAGUCUGUGUACUCAGUACAGUGGGUCAGAGGUCAGAUUCAGAACAAGAAAAAGGCAGUUUUCGUACAACCCUUUUUUAGAUCAUAUGCUCAAUGAGCGUAACAGAAGGUUCCCUAUCAAACACUGUGACAUAAUGAAUGGCAUCCAAACUCUAAACCCUACAAGUGACGUGUUUCUCAAAGAGAAGUCCCGGUUUCCAUUUGCUAGAAUGUAUGAAUCAAAUAUUGAGGACUUGGGACAUGAACUACAGCAGUUCAGAAGAAUUUUAGAGAGGAAAAUACAGUGGCAUGCAGAGACCCUCCAGUGUAGUAGAGCUGGCAUUAUUCAUUGAGCCUUAUAAAUAAGUUUUCUUUGCGCUCUUUAAACUGUGCAAGAUAGCUGUUUCAAUCCCUGUUAGUACUGCUUCUUGUGAAAUACAUUUUUCUGCACUAAAACUGGUGAAAACGUAUCUCAGGUCUACAAUGUCAGAUGACAGAUUAAACAAUUUAGGUGUAUUAAGUAUUGAGUCAAGGAGGGCAAAGGCUUUGAGUCUAGAUUAAUUUGCUGAUCUUUUUGCAAAAAAACACAAAAACCGGAGAAUACAGUUGAUGUGACCUGAUACUGAAUAUGUAAUGCAAAUGAAAAUUAUAAUGGAAAUGCAAAUAAAUUGUUGAAUGAUUAUGAUGGUCUUUUGCCUGCUAAUGCCUGCAAUGCAGUGAAGAAAACGAUAUGACAACAAUAACGUCUAAUGUAACUGGCCCCAGCUUGGCCCCCCCAGUUGAAA